UGAUCCAGAAUCAAGUCUCAGGGAAGGACUCUGAUUGGCUGAUCCAGGGUUAAGUCACAGGGAAGGACUCUGAUUGGGUGGUCCAGAGUUAAGACCCAGGGAAGGACUCUGAUUGGCUGAUCCAGGAUUAGUUUCCAGGGCAAGACCAAUUAGUGGGUCUUGAAGAGCAAAGGACCAGAGUCCUCCUUAGAACUCUACAAUGGGAGUCGAGGACUGUGGUUAGCUCAACUUGGGUACAGAAGAACACAGCAGUCCAUAGUGGCUGAGGGCUGUGAAUGCUGCCUCUUGUACUGGGGGACAGGUCACCUGAGAGCCAUCAGCCAAGCAUGGGAGUCUGAUUCCCCUGCUCUCCCCUUUGCUCUUCAGGAAGAGAAGGUGGAGGAGGGCCCCAGAGAGGACAUUUUCACCAUGGAGCCUGUGCCUCAUUUAUACCGGGAGUCUCAUGCCCGGCGUUCCAGCUACGCUUUCUCCCACCAUGAGGGAUAUGCGGACCUCAUUACUCAGGGCACAAUUCUGCGGACCGGACCUGGGGUCAGCGAUGACAUUACCUCUGAUUCCUCAGCCCCAUGUGAUGAAGGGGCGUCCUUGAGCCCAAAGGAGUCACACUGGCAUCUCAGGAAGGAGAAAUCACUGUUGCUGAGAAGGAGCCAGCUGUUAUCUUCCGAGAGCCGGCCACAACCUCUGGCGAGCCAGUCAUUGCUUUCAGGCCAGCUGACGUUGGAGAGCCAGGCAGAAUCCUCGGAGAAGUCAGCGUUUUUGAGGCCCUUGACACCGUUCCGGAAGAGCUGGCAAAAGGAGCCCCACACCCCCAAGGAGGGGACGGCACCGCUCUCAGACGAGACCCAGGAAUCUCAGGUGGAGACUCUGCCUCUGAGUCCGGGAGAAUCCUCCAUGAACCAGCAGCCCAUGUAGGUGGAGCCCUGCCCAUCAUCACCAUGGAGUGGCUGCUGGUGCCCGUCGAGGAGCAGCCACCCCUGCCCCCAGAGGAGCAGUCAUUGCCCUAUACAAGCCCCUCGGCAUUCAGGAGGCCUUCCUCUGAAUACAAGGGUUCUACACACUUUUCUUUUUCUAAUAAACCAGGGUCCAUCUGACCCCAGCGCUAAUUCA